rnacentral:rRNA from 1 species
ACGGGAGGCAGCAGUGGGGAAUAUUGCACAAUGGGGGGAACCCUGAUGCAGCGACGCCGCGUGAGCGAAGAAGUAUUUCGGUAUGUAAAGCUCUAUCAGCAGGGAAGAAACAGGACGGUACCUGCACAAGAAGCCCCGGCUAACUACGUGCCAGCAGCCGCGGUAAUACGUAGGGGGCGAGCGUUAUCCGGAUUUACUGGGUGUAAAGGGAGCGUAGACGGCUGUGCAAGUCUGGAGUGAAACUCCGGGGCCCAACCCCGGAACUGCUCUGGAAACUGUGUGGCUCGAGUACCGGAGGGGCAGGCGGAACUCCUAGUGUAGCGGUGAAAUGCGUAGAUAUUAGGAAGAACACCGGCGGCGAAGGCGGCCUGCUGGACGGUAACUGACGUUGAGGCUCGAAAGCGUGGGGAGCAAACAGGAUUAGAUACCCUGGUA